CCCGCCUUCUGUGCGUCGGCAUCAGGCCGCGCCGGCUCGGGCGCGGGAGUAGGUCGUGUGCCGCCCGGUUUCGAGUCCGCGGGUCCGUCACUUUUCCCGGCCGGCACUGAAGGCUGCGACUCCGGCGACUGCGUCGUUUGCGCCAAAUGAACCUGGCCGCGCGACGCCAGUUGCAUCAGCGAAAUUCCGGACAGCGUCAGACCGCCCGCGAUCAGGAUCGCGGACAGAAUAAGAUCGG
rnacentral:misc_RNA from 1 species